AGUGAACGCUGGCGGCAGGCCUAAUACAUGCAAGUCGAACGGCAGCACAGCAGAGCUUGCUCUGUGGGUGGCGAGUGGCGGACGGGUGAGGAAUACAUGGGAAUCUGCCCAGUCGUGGGGGAUAACGUAUGGAAACGUACGCUAAUACCGCAUGCGCCCUACGGGGGAAAGCCGGGGACCGAAAGGCCUGGCGCGAUUGGAUGAGCCCAUGUUCGAUUAGCUAGUUGGCGGGGUAAAGGCCCACCAAGGCGACGAUCGAUAGCUGGUCUGAGAGGAUGAUCAGCCACACUGGAACUGAGACACGGUCCAGACUCCUACGGGAGGCAGCAGUAGGGAAUAUUGGACAAUGGGGGCAACCCUGAUCCAGCCAUGCCGCGUGAGUGAAGAAGGCCCUCGGGUUGUAAAGCUCUUUUGUCCGGAAAGAAAAGCAUUCGGUUAAUACCCGGGUGUUCUGACGGUACCGGAAGAAUAAGCACCGGCUAACUCGUGCCAGC
rnacentral:rRNA from 1 species